rnacentral:rRNA from 1 species
UGGGGAAUAUUGCACAAUGGGCGCAAGCCUGAUGCAGCCAUGCCGCGUGUAUGAAGAAGGCCUUCGGGUUGUAAAGUACUUUCAGCGGGGAGGAAGGCGAUAAGGUUAAUAACCUUGUCGAUUGACGUUACCCGCAGAAGAAGCACGGGCUAACUCCGUGCCAGCAGCCGCGGUAAUACGGAGGGUGCAAGCGUUAAUCGGAAUUACUGGGCGUAAAGCGCACGCAGGCGGUCUAUCAAGUCGGAUGUGAAAUCCCCGGGCUCAACCUGGGAACUGCAUUCGAAACUGGCAGGCUAGAGUCUUGUAGAGGGGGGUAGAAUUCCAGGUGUAGCGGUGAAAUGCGUAGAGAUCUGGAGGAAUACCGGUGGCGAAGGCGGCCCCCUGGACAAAGACUGACGCUCAGGUGCGAAAGCGUGGGGAGCAAACA